GCACAAGCGGUGGAGCAUGUGGUUAAUUCGAAGCAACGCGAAGAACCUUACUACCCUUGACAUGUCCGGAACUUGCCAGAGAUGGCUUGGUGCCCGAAAGGGAAUCGGAACACAGGUGCUGCAUGGCUGUCGUCAGCUCGUGUCGUGAGAUGUUGGGUUAAGUCCCGCAACGAGCGCAACCCUUAUCAUUAGUUGCUACGCAAGGGCACUCUAAUGAGACUGCCGGUGACAAACCGGAGGAAGGUGGGGAUGACGUCAAGUCCUCAUGGCCCUUAUGGGUAGGGCUUCACACGUCAUACAAUGGUCGGUACAGAGGGUUGCCAAGCCGCGAGGCGGAGCCAAUCCCACAAAGCCGAUCGUAGUCCGGAUUGUUCUCUGCAACUCGAGAGCAUGAAGUCGGAAUCGCUAGUAAUCGCAGGUCAGCAUACUGCGGUGAAUACGUUCCCGGGUCUU
rnacentral:rRNA from 1 species